rnacentral:rRNA from 1 species
GACGAACGCUGGCGGCGUGCCUAACACAUGCAAGUCGAGCGGGGACUUGGGAGCUUGCUCCCGGGUUCUAGCGGCGGACGGGUGAGUAACGCGUGAGCAACCUGCCUCUUACUGGGGGAUAACGCAUCGAAAGAUGUGCUAAUACCGCGUAAGACCACGGAGUCGCAUGGCUCAGGGGUCAAAGGAGCAAUCCGGUAAGAGAUGGGCUCGCGUCCGAUUAGCUAGUUGGUGAGAUAACGGCCCACCAAGGCGACGAUCGGUAGCCGACCUGAGAGGGUGAUCGGCCACAUUGGAACUGAGACACGGCCCAGACUCCUACGGGAGGCAGCAGUGGGGAAUAUUGGGCAAUGGACGCAAGUCUGACCCAGCAACGCCGCGUGAAGGAAGAAGGCUUUCGGGUUGUAAACUUCUUUAAGUGGGAAGAGUAGAAGACGGUACCACUUGAAUAAGCCACGGCUAACUACGUG